rnacentral:misc_RNA from 1 species
CCGAUACCACGUACAGGACACACGUCCUCGUACAGACACUGUGCGCUACCCAGCGAUCGGCGACACACGUCGUCGGUCGGCAUUCAAUCUGUUACCGUCGAGAAUUCAAAGCAUACCCGUUGACGCUUCGGGGUACCUGUCGCACGUCGGCCGUCUUUGCGUGCGGUGAGCAGGCCGCGGGCUUCGGUCCGCGGUCGGCGAAGGUCCAACGAACCGUCCGCGCGUUCGCGCGCGCGUUCGGUCGCCCCGUCGCAUUCUCAGUCAGCCAGUCAGUUAACACGUACGGUCGCAUCAGUUACCAUGUCAGGACAACGAGAGUUACACAGAC